rnacentral:rRNA from 1 species
AAGACCUUGCGCUUUUGGAGCGGCCGAUGCCUGAUUAGCUUGUUGGUAAGGUAAAAGCUUACCAAGGCUUCGAUCAGUAGCUGGUCUGAGAGGACGGCCAGCCACACUGGGACCGAGACACGGCCCAGACUCCUACGGGAGGCAGCAGUGGGGAAUUUUGGACAAUGGGGGCAACCCUGAUCCAGCCAUGCCGCGUGAGUGAAGAAGGCCUUCGGGUUGUAAAGCUCUUUCAGCCGGAACGAAACGGUUACGGUUAAUACCCGUGACUACUGACGGUACCGGAAGAAGAAGCACCGGCUAACUACGUGCCAGCAGCCGCGGUAAUACGUAGGGUGCGAGCGUUAAUCGGAAUUACUGGGCGUAAAGCGUGCGCAGGUGGUUUUGUAAGUCAGAUGUGAAAGCCCCGGGCUCAACCUGGGAACU